rnacentral:rRNA from 1 species
UACGUAGGGUGCGAGCGUUAAUCGGAAUUACUGGGCGUAAAGCGUGCGCAGGCGGUUCGUUGUGUCGGCGGUGAAAGCCCCGGGCUUAACCUGGGAAUGGCCGUUGAAACUGGCGAACUGGAGUGUGGCAGAGGGGGGUGGAAUUCCGCGUGUAGCAGUGAAAUGCGUAGAGAUGCGGAGGAACACCGAUGGCGAAGGCAGCCCCCCUGGGCUAACACUGACGCUCAUGCACGAAAGCGUGGGGAGCAAACAGG